AUGAACGCUGGCGGCAUGCCUAACACAUGCAAGUCGCUCGGUAAGGCUCUUCGGAGUACACGAGAGGCGGACGGCUGAGUAACGCGUAGGAACACACCCUGCAGUGAGGGAUAAGACACCGAAAGGUGUUCUAAUACCGCAUACGGUCUUCGGAUUAAAGCAUUUAUGCGCUGAAGGAGUGGCCUGCGUCAUAUUAGAUAGUUGGUGAGGUAAUGGCUCACCAAGUCGAUGAUGUGUAGCUGGUCUGAGAGGAUGAUCAGCCAGACUGGAACUGAGACACGGUCCAGACUCCUACGGGAGGCAGCAGUGAGGAAUAUUUCACAAUGAGCGAAAGCUUGAUGGAGCAAUGCCGCGUGCAGGAUGAAGGCCCUCGGGUUGUAAACUGCUUUUAUAAGAGAAGAUUAUGACGGUAACUUAUGAAUAAGGGACGGCUAACUACGUG
rnacentral:rRNA from 1 species